AUUGAACGCUGGCGGCAGGCCUAACACAUGCAAGUCGAACGAGUGGCGGACGGGUGAGUAAUGUCUGGGAAACUGCCCGAUGGAGGGGGAUAACUACUGGAAACGGUAGCUAAUACCGCAUACCAUCGGAUGUGCCCAGAUGGGAUUAGCUAGUAUGUGGGGUAAAGGCUCACCUAGGCGACGCUCCCUAGCUGGUCUGCGAGGAUGACCAGCAACACGGGAACUGAGACACGGUCCAGACGCCUACGGGAGGCAUCAGUGGGGAAUAUUGCACAAUGGGAGCAAGCCGGAUGCAGCCAUGCCGCGUGUAUGAAGAAGGCCUUCGGGUUGUAAAGUACUUUCAGCGGGGAGGCGUUACCCGCAGAAGAAGCACCGGCUAACUCCGUGCCAGCAGCCGCGGUAAUUC
rnacentral:rRNA from 1 species